rnacentral:tRNA from 1 species
CCGUCGAUAGCUCAGUUGGCAGAGCGGUGGACUGUAGAUCCAUAGGUCGCUGGUUCGACUCUCUCGACGGA